rnacentral:rRNA from 1 species
GUCUACGGCCAUGCCACCCUGAACAAGCCAGAUCCCAUCUGACCUUAAAGCUAAGCAGGGUCAGGCCUGGUUAGCACUUGGAUAGGAGACCACCUAGAAAGACCAGGAGCUGUAGGCU